CUACGGGGGGCUGCAGUGAGGAAUAUUGCACAAUGGGGGGAGCCCUGAUGCAGCAACGCCGCGUGGAGGAUGACGCAUUUCGGUGUGUAAACUCCUUUUAUAUGUCAAGAAAAUGACGGUAGCAUAUGAAUAAGCACCGGCUAACUCCGUGCCAGCAGCCGCGGUAAUACGGAGGGUGCAAGCGUUACUCGGAAUCACUGGGCGUAAAGGACGCGUAGGCGGGUUGGAAAGUCAGGUGUGAAAUCCUACAGCUUAACUGUAGAACUGCACUUGAAACUUCUAAUCUAGAGUAUGGGAGGGGGAGAUGGAAUUAGUGGUGUAGGGGUAAAAUCCGUAGAUAUCACUAGGAAUACCUAAAGCGAAGGCGAUCUCCUGGAACAUUACUGACGCUAAGGCGUGAAAGCGUGGGGAGCAAACAGGAUUAGAUACCGUGUAGUC
rnacentral:rRNA from 1 species